rnacentral:rRNA from 1 species
CAGUAGCCGCGGGAAUACCAGCAGCCCAAGUGGUGGUCGCGAUUAUUGGGCCUAAAGCGCUCGUAGCCGGGCCGGUAAGUCCCUUGUGAAAUCGGACGGCCUAACCGUUCGGCGUGCAAGGGAUACUGUCGGUCUUGAGGCCGGGAGACGUCCGAGGUACUCCGGGGGUAGCGGUGAAAUGUUCUGAUCCUCGGGGGACCACCGGUGGCGAAGGCGUUCGACGAGAACGGGCCUGACGGUGAGGGGCGAAGGCUAGGGGAGCAAACGGGAUUAGAUACCCGCGUAGUCCCUGUCUCUUAUU